rnacentral:rRNA from 1 species
UGCCCUAUGAGUUGUUUAAAUGGCCGCAGUAUCUUGACUGUGCAAAGGUAGCAUAAUCAUUUGCUUUUUAAUUGGGAGCUGGAAUGAAAGAGGCGACGAAAUCUAGACUAUUUAAAAUUUAAAAUAAAUUGACAAAUAGGUCAAAAGGCCUAUAUCGACCAAUGGGACGAUAAGACCCUAUAAAACUUUACUCUUUGCGAGGGGUCCUGAUAGAGUUGGCCCCACACCAAAAAGUUUGACUGGGGCGGUAGUUAUAAAAACAAUUAUAUACACAAUAUAUUAAAUAACGUAGUAGAACUCUUUAAGAAAUAGACCAAGUUACUUUAGGGAUAACAGCGUAAUCCCCCCAGAGAGUCCUAAUUGGCGGGGGAGCUUACGACCUCGAUGUUGAAUUGGGGUCUCUUGUGUAAGCAAAAAUACACACGGUCAGUCUGUUCGACUGUUAAACCCCC